GGGCCCGCACAAGCGGUGGAGCAUGUGGUUUAAUUCGAUGCAACGCGAAGAACCUUACCAGGGCUUGACAUCCUACGAAUUCUUCAGAAAUGAAGAAGUGCCUUCGGGAACGUAGAGACAGGUGGUGCAUGGCUGUCGUCAGCUCGUGUCGUGAGAUGUUGGUUAAGUCCCGCAACGAGCGCAACCCUUAUCUUUAGUUACCUAUAUCACUCUAAAGAGACUGCCGGUGAUAAACCGGAGGAAGGUGAGGAUGACGUCAAGUCAGCAUGCCCCUUACGCCCUGGGCGACACACGUGCUACAAUGGUCGAGACAAUGAGUUGCGAUCUCGCGAGAGUCAGCU
rnacentral:rRNA from 1 species